GCUAAGGCCCCAAAAUGACAGCUAAGUGGCAAAGGAUGUGAAAAUGCGAAAACAACCAGGAGGUUUGCUCAGAAGCAGCCAUCCUUUAAAGAGUGCGUAAUAGCUCACUGGUCCAAGCGUUCUUGCGCCGAAAAUUAUCGGGACUAAGUUGUCUGCCGAAGCUGUGGCUUUAAAUAAUAUGUUUAUUGGGUAGGGGAGCGUUCCGCUCUAGGGUGAAGCACAUUUGUGAUUAUGUGUGGACGAAGCGGAAGUGAGAAUGUCGGCUUGAGUAACGCAAACAUUGGUGAGAAUCCAAUGCCCCGAAAACCUAAGGGUUCCACCGGUAGGGUCGUCCGCGGUGGGUUAGUCAGGACCUAAGGCCAGGCCGAAAGGCGCAGUCGAUGGCAAACAGGUGAAUAUUCCUGUACUAAUUUUAUGUUUGCAGCGAGGGACGAAAUAAGUCUAAACUAAUCCUACUUUGGUUUGUAUGGAUGGAAAUGUUCGAAGAUGCUGUAUGAAUAAAAACAUACCUAAAAGAUCUAAGACAUGAUACGCUAAUAACAAUAUUAAAUGAUUUUUAAGUUAUUUAACUUUUUAUUAGUUAGUUAUUGAUAAUGUUUCCUAGAAAAGCUCCAACUGCUUAUCUUUUUAAGAGAAAUAUAAAAUUACCUGUACCAUAAACCGACACAGGUAGGUGUGAGUAGAGAAUACUCAGGGGCGCGAGAUAACUCUCUCUA
rnacentral:rRNA from 1 species